rnacentral:rRNA from 1 species
CCUACGGGAGGCAGCAGUGGGGAAUUUUGGACAAUGGGGGCAACCCUGAUCCAGCCAUGCCGCGUGAGUGAUGAAGGCCUUAGGGUUGUAAAGCUCUUUUGUCCGGGAAGAUAAUGACGGUACCGGAAGAAUAAGCCCCGGCUAACUUCGUGCCAGCAGCCGCGGUAAU